rnacentral:rRNA from 1 species
GGCGACCGCUAUUGGAGUUCGAUUAAGCCAUGCGAGUCGAGAGGGUUCGGCCCUCGGCAUACUGCUCAGUAACACGUGGAUAACCUGCCCUAUGCUCGAGGAUAACCUCGGGAAACUGAGAAUAAUACUCGAUAUUCCACAACGCCUGGAACGGUGUGUGGAUUAAAGGUAACGGCAUAGGAUGGGUCUGCGGCGUAUCAGGUCGUAGGGGGUGUAAUGGACCUCCUAGCCAUUGACGCGUACGGGUUGUGGGAGCAAUAGCCCGGAGAUGGAUUCUGAGACACGAAUCCAGACCCUACGGGGUGCAGCAGGCGCGAAAACUUCACACUGCAGGAAACUGUGAUGAGGGAACUCCAAGUGCAUGCACUAUGUGUAUGCUUUUCUUAACUUUUAAUCGGUUUUGGAAUAAGGGCUGGGAAAGACCGGUGCCAGCCGCCGCGGUAAUACCGGCAGCUCAAGUGGUCGUCGCUUUUAUUGGGCCUAAAACGUCCGUAGCCUGUUUAGUAAAUUCGUGGGUAAAUCAACCAGCUUAACUGGUUGAAUUCUGCAAAGACUGCUAGACUAGGGACCGGGAGAGGUGUGAGGUACUCUGGGGGUAGAGGUAAAAUUCUGUCAUCCUUGGAGGACCACCAGUUGCGAAGGCGUCACACUAGAACGGAUCCGACGGUCAGGGACGAAGCCUAGGGGCACGAACCGGAUUAGAUACCCGGGUAGUCCUAGGUGUAAACGCUGUGAACUUGGUGUCGGGAUUCCGUCAGGGGACCUCGGUGCCGAAGUGAAGAUGUUAAGUUCACUGCCUGGGGAGUACGGUCGCAAGGCUGAAACUUAAAGGAAUUGGCGGGGGAGCACUGCAACGGGAGGAGCGUGCGGUUU